rnacentral:lncRNA from 1 species
AUGUGGAAAGGGGGAUCUUCCUCAAAAAGUGGGCAAAAAGAAUUUCUAUCAGUAUAUCAAAGGGACUUCAUUUCAGCAUUGCUUAUUGUGUACACCCUCACUGCAGGACUCUGCUUGUUUUGUCAUCGAUCUAUGUCAGAUUAUGAAACACUAUGUUGAGUACAGUAACAAGAACUACACUUUCAAGAUAGCAAAGACUUUAGUUGUUCUGCAUAAGAAUUAAUGUACAAAUGUGAAGGGAAGUAAGAAGUGUUUAGUUUGAACAAUAGUUUAGUUGAAACAAUAGACCUCCUUAAACAUCCAUUGCUGAUUGAAAUCCUCAGUAAGGCAAGCCAUUAGUCUUUCUCAGCAUAGCUGUGCUGUUGUACAACUUUUACUUCUGGAAAAAUUAAGACAUUGUUUCGUGUACAGGAAAGGUAAAGGGAUAUUGAGCCAGUACUUCUUUUUCCCUCUCUGAAAAGCCAACUAAGAAUCCUUUCAGACAUCCCAGCCACAGGCUGUUUCUAACCUACCUCUAUAUUUCAUGCCUAUCUAGGCUUCUAGAGUCUCUGAACUACUCUAAUUCAAUCUAAUGGUCUCUGGGCUAUUAAGUACAAUUGAUUACCUUAUCCUGAAGCACUGUCACUUUCCAGGGGAUUUACAAUAAACCAAGAAAAACAACAUAUAACGAAAUCCA